UGGGGGAUAUUGCACAAUGGGCGAAAGCCUGAUGCAGCGACGCCGCGUGGGGGAUGAAGGCCUUCGGGUUGUAAACUUCUUUUGCUCUGAACAAGGCAUGCUAAUGGGUGUGUUGAGUGUAGGGGUUGAUUAGCGCCGGCUAACUACGUGCCAGCAGCCGCGGUAAUACGUAGGGCGCGAGCGUUGUCCGGAAUUAUUGGGCGUAAAGGGCUUGUAGGUGGCUGGUUGCGUCUGUCGUGAAAGCUCAUGGCUUAACUGGGGGUUUGCGGUGGGUACUGGCUGGCUUGAGUGCAGUAGGGGAGGCUGGAAUUCCUGGUGUAGCGGUGGAAUGCGCAGAUAUCAGGAGGAAUACCGGUGGCGAAGGCGGGUCUCUGGGCUGUUACUGACACUGAGGAGCGAAAGCAUGGGGAGCGAACAGG
rnacentral:rRNA from 1 species